rnacentral:rRNA from 1 species
AAAGAUUAAGCCAUGCAUGUCUAGGUAUAAGCAAUCUAUACAGUGAAACUGCGAAUGGCUCAUUAAAUCAGUUAUCGUUUAUUUGAUAGUACCUUACUACAUGGAUAACCGUGGUAAUUCUAGAGCUAAUACAUGCUAAAAAUCCCGACCUCUGGAAGGGAUGUAUUUAUUAGAUAAAAAACCAAUGUCUUCGGACUCUUGGGUGAUUCAUGAUAACUUUACGAAUCGCAUGGCCUUGCGCCGGCGAUGGUUCAUUCAAAUUUCUGCCCUAUCAACUUUCGAUGGUAGGAUAGUGGCCUACCAUGGUUU